UACGUAGGUGGCAAGCGUUAUCCGGAUUUACUGGGUGUAAAGGGCGUGUAGGCGGGACUGCAAGUCAGAUGUGAAAAUUAUGGGCUCAACCCAUAACCUGCAUUUGAAACUGUAGUUCUUGAGUGAUGGAGAGGCAGGCGGAAUUCCGUGUGUAGCGGUGAAAUGCGUAGAUAUACGGAGGAACACCAGUGGCGAAGGCGGCCUGCUGGACAUUAACUGACGCUAAGGCGCGAAAGCGUGGGGAGCAAACAGG
rnacentral:rRNA from 1 species